rnacentral:rRNA from 1 species
CCUACGGGAGGCAGCAGUGAGGAAUUUUCCGCAAUGGGCGAAAGCCUGACGGAGCAAUACCGCGUGAGGGAUGAAGGAUUUUGGUCUGUAAACCUCUUUUCUCAAGAAAGAAGUUCUGACGGUACUUGAGGAAUAAGCAUCGGCUAACUCCGUGCCAGCAGCCGCGGUAAUACGGGGGAUGCAAGCGUUAUCCGGAAUGAUUGGGCGUAAAGCGCCUGUAGGUUGUUUAUUAAGUCCGUUGUUAAAGCCUAGGGCUCAACCCUAGAAAAGCAAUGGAAACUAGUAGACUAGAGUAUGGCAGGGGUAGAGGGAAUUUCUAGUGUAGCGGUGAAAUGCGUGGAUAUUAGAAAGAACACCGGUGGCGAAAGCGCUCUACUGGACCAUUACUGACACUCAGAGGCGAAAGCUAGGGUAGCAAAAGGGAUUAGAUACCCCUGUAGUCCUAGCCGUAAACGAUGGAUACUAGAUGUUGUGCAUUAUGUACAGUAUCGUAGCUAACGCGUUAAGUAUCCCGCCUGGGGAGUACGCUCGCAAGGGUGAAACUCAAAGGAAUUGACGG